rnacentral:rRNA from 1 species
GAUGAACGCUGGCGGCGUGCCUAAUACAUGCAAGUCGAGCGAACGGACGAGAAGCUUGCUUCUCUGAUGUUAGCGGCGGACGGGUGAGUAACACGUGGAUAACCUACCUAUAAGACUGGGAUAACUUCGGGAAACCGGAGCUAAUACCGGAUAAUAUUUUGAACCGCAUGGUUCAAAAGUGAAAGACGGUCUUGCUGUCACUUAUAGAUGGAUCCGCGCUGCAUUAGCUAGUUGGUAAGGUAACGGCUUACCAAGGCAACGAUGCAUAGCCGACCUGAGAGGGUGAUCGGCCACACUGGAACUGAGACACGGUCCAGACUCCUACGGGAGGCAGCAGUAGGGAAUCUUCCGCAAUGGGCGAAAGCCUGACGGAGCAACGCCGCGUGAGUGAUGAAGGUCUUCGGAUCGUAAAACUCUGUUAUUAGGGAAGAACAUAUGUGUAAGUAACUGUGCACAUCUUGACGGUACCUAAUCAGAAAGCCACGGCUAACUACGUGCCAGCAGCCGCGGUAAUACGUAGGUGGCAAGCGUUAUCCGGAAUUAUUGGGCGUAAAGCGCGCGUAGGCGGUUUUUUAGUCUGAUGUGAAAGCCCGCGGCUCAACCGUGGAGGGUCAUUGGAAACUGGAAAACUUGAGUGCAGAAGAGGAAAGUGGAAUUCCAUGUGUAGCGGUGAAAUGCGCAGAGAUAUGGAGGAACACCAGUGGCGAAGGCGACUUUCUGGUCUGUAACUGACGCUGAUGUGCGAAAGCGUGGGGAUCAAACAGGAUUAGAUACCCUGGUAGUCCACGCCGUAAACGAUGAGUGCUAAGUGUUAGGGGGUUUCCGCCCCUUAGUGCUGCAGCUAACGCAUUAAGCACUCCGCCUGGGGAGUACGACCGCAAGGUUGAAACUCAAAGGAAUUGACGGGGACCCGCACAAGCGGUGGAGCAUGUGGUUUAAUUCGAAGCAACGCGAAGAACCUUACCAAAUCUUGACAUCCUUUGACAACUCUAGAGAUAGAGCUUUCCCCUUCGGGGGACAAAGUGACAGGUGGUGCAUGGUUGUCGUCAGCUCGUGUCGUGAGAUGUUGGGUUAAGUCCCGCAACGAGCGCAACCCUUAAGCUUAGUUGCCAUCAUUAAGUUGGGCACUCUAAGUUGACUGCCGGUGACAAACCGGAGGAAGGUGGGGAUGACGUCAAAUCAUCAUGCCCCUUAUGAUUUGGGCUACACACGUGCUACAAUGGACAAUACAAAGGGCAGCGAAACCGUGAGGUCAAGCAAAUCCCAUAAAGUUGUUCUCAGUUCGGAUUGUAGUCUGCAACUCGACUACAUGAAGCUGGAAUCGCUAGUAAUCGUAGAUCAGCAUGCUACGGUGAAUACGUUCCCGGGUCU